GACGAACGCUGGCGGCGUGCUUAACACAUGCAAGUCGAACGGAAAGGCUCCAGCUUGCUGGAGUGCUCGAGUGGCGAACGGGUGAGUAACACGUGGGCAAUCUGCCCUGCACUCUGGGAUAAGCCUGGGAAACUGGGUCUAAUACCGGAUAGGACCUUUCUCCUCAUGGGGUUUGGUGGAAAGUUUUUCGGUGCAGGAUGAGCCCGCGGCCUAUCAGCUUGUUGGUGGGGUAAUGGCCUACCAAGGCGACGACGGGUAGCCGGCCUGAGGGGGUGAUCGGCCACAUUGGGACUGAGAUACGGCCCAGACUCCUACGGGAGGCAGCAGUGGGGAAUAUUGCACAAUGGGCGAAAGCCUGAUGCAGCGACGCCGCGUGAGGGAUGACGGCCUUCGGGUUGUAAACCUCUUUCAGUAGGGACGAAGCGCAAGUGACGGUACCUGCAGAAGAAGCACCGGCUAACUACGUG
rnacentral:rRNA from 1 species